UGGGGAAUUUUGGACAAUGGGCGAAAGCCUGAUCCAGCAAUGCCGCGUGUGUGAAGAAGGCCUUCGGGUUGUAAAGCACUUUUGUCCGGAAAGAAAUCCUUGGCUCUAAUACAGUCGGGGGAUGACGGUACCGGAAGAAUAAGCACCGGCUAACUACGUGCCAGCAGCCGCGGUAAUACGUAGGGUGCAAGCGUUAAUCGGAAUUACUGGGCGUAAAGCGUGCGCAGGCGGUUUGCUAAGACCGAUGUGAAAUCCCCGGGCUCAACCUGGGAACUGCAUUGGUGACUGGCAGGCUAGAGUAUGGCAGAGGGGGGUAGAAUUCCACGUGUAGCAGUGAAAUGCGUAGAGAUGUGGAGGAAUACCGAUGGCGAAGGCAGCCCCCUGGGCCAAUACUGACGCUCAUGCACGAAAGCGUGGGGAGCAAACAGGAUUAGAUACCCUGGUAGUCCACGCCCUAAACGAUGUCAACUAGUUGUUGGGGAUUCAUUUCCUUAGUAACGUAGCUNAUCGCGUGAAGUUGACCGCCUGGGGAGUACGGUCGCAAGAUUAAAAACUU
rnacentral:rRNA from 1 species